rnacentral:lncRNA from 1 species
AAACCGAAAGCUCAGACAACGCUAGAGAAGGAGGCAGCAGUGGGAAGGGUUGGGUGUUGCCCCCCUCCGCAACCCAUGAUCUCCGAUUUCCCCCCGAAAUUCAACAGCCCUUACAUCUGGGAUGGAACUCCGAUCGUCUGAUCAUCCGAUUGCUUGUUGACUGGACUGCUUCUUCUACAAUAUUUUCUUUUUGGCCAUGAAUGCAAGUUCACCAUUUUGGCUGUCACAAUCGGUGGUGCUGGUGACCUGAGAACAUGGGAUGGAGAGGACCAAGAUGACGACGGUGUUAGAAGUAUACUUUUUCCGGUAACCAUUGGGAUCAAUCAAACAAGAUCUCGGUUUUGAACAAUUCAUCAGCCCUCACCAUCAUUCAACCUUUUUAUGUUACUUGAGAUAUCAAGGCGAACUUAUUUCAAAAGAUGAAGCGUAGAAGAAAUUUUACAACUCUAGCUUGGGAUGAUUGGUUUAAGUUCAACGGUUGUGUUAAACUACCAUUUUCUUGUGUGUUUUUUUUACCGAAUGUAUUAUCUUCAUCCUACUAAAUCAAUAACAUCAUUUCUCUAACUUUAUUUGUAGGAGAUGCGUUAAACAUAAAUAGAAGAUAAAUUUA